rnacentral:rRNA from 1 species
AGUGAACGCUGGCGGCGUGCUUAACACAUGCAAGUCGAACGAGAACGGGCUAUAGCUUGCUAUAGUUGUCAGCUAAGUGGCGCACGGGUGAGUAAUGUAUAGGUAAUAUGCCUCUUACUAAGGGAUAACAAAUGGAAACGUUUGCUAAUACCUUAUACUCCUUAUUAACAGAAGUUAAUAAGGGAAAGAUUUAUUGGUAAGAGAUUAGCCUGUAUUGUAUCAGUUAGUUGGUGGGGUAAUGGUUUACCAAGACUAUGACUCAUAACUGGUUUGAGAGGAUGAUCAGUCACACUGGAACUGAGACACGGUCCAGACUCCUACGGGAGGCAGCAGUGGGGAAUAUUGCACAAUGGACGAAAGUCUGAUGCAGCAACGCCGCGUGGAGGAUGACACAUUUCGGUGCGUAAACUCCUUUUAUAUGAGAAGAUAAUGACGGUAUUAUAUGAAUAAGCACCGGCUAACUCCGUGCCAGCAGCCGCCGUAA